rnacentral:rRNA from 1 species
CAUCAUUUGACGUUAGCGACAGAAGAAGCACCGGCUAACUCCGUGCCAGCAGCCGCGGUAAUACGGAGGGUGCGAGCGUUAAUCGGAAUUACUGGGCGUAAAGCGCAUGCAGGUGGUUCGUUAAGUCAGAUGUGAAAGCCCGGGGCUCAACCUCGGAACUGCAUUUGAAACUGGCGGACUAGAGUACUGUAGAGGGGGGUAGAAUUUCAGGUGUAGCGGUGAAAUGCGUAGAGAUCUGAAGGAAUACCGGUGGCGAAGGCGGCCCCCUGGACAGAUACUGACACUCAGAUGCGAAAGCGUGGGGAGCAAACAGGAUUAGAUACCCUGGUAGUCCACGCCGUAAACGAUGUCUACUUGGAGGUUGUGGCCUUGAGCCGUGGCUUUCGGAGCUAACGCGUUAAGUAGACCGCCUGGGGAGUACGGUCGCAAGAUUAAAACUCAAAUGAAUUGACGGGGGCCCGCACAAGCGGUGGAGCAUGUGGUUUAAUUCGAUGCAACGCGAAGAACCUUACCUACUCUUGACAUCCAGAGAAUCCAGCGGAGACGCAGGAGUGCCUUCGGGAGCUCUGAGACAGGUGCUGCAUGGCUGUCGUCAGCUCGUGUUGUGAAAUGUUGGGUUAAGUCCCGCAACGAGCGCAACCCUUAUCCUUGUUUGCCAGCGAGUAAUGUCGGGAACUCCAGGGAGACUGCCGGUGAUAAACCGGAGGAAGGUGGGGACGACGUCAAGUCAUCAUGGCCCUUACGAGUAGGGCUACACACGUGCUACAAUGGCGCAUACAGAGGGCAGCCAACUUGCGAAAGUGAGCGAAUCCCAAAAAGUGCGUCGUAGUCCGGAUUGGAGUCUGCAACUCGACUCCAUGAAGUCGGAAUCGCUAGUAAUCGUGGAUCAGAAUGCCACGGUGAAUACGUUCCCGGGCCUUGUACACACCGCCCGUCACACCAUGGGAGUGGGCUGCAAAAGAAGUGGGUAGUUUAACCUUUCGGGGAGGACGCUCACCACUUUGUGGUUCAUGACUGGGGUGAAGUCGUAACAAGGUAGCGCUAGGGGAACCUGGCGCUGGAUCACCUCCUUA